rnacentral:lncRNA from 1 species
CUCCUUGACGCACAUUCUUUCCUCCAACCCACCAAUAAGUGUGUGGCAAGGGUUAAAUGAGAUAACCCGUGUAAAGUAUCUAGAACAGUCUGAAACAUGAAAAAAUUUGCCAACCCCUGCUCUGAACGGUACCCUACAAGCCGGGGACAGCCCUGCAGAGACUCGAAUCCUGGCAAAGCUCCUUUGGGAUCUCCCAAACACCUAGCAGCCGUCUGAGCAUCUCAAGUUGGCCCACAGACACCUGGAACUCAGCGAGGCCCGUACCUUCCCACGCUUGCUCUUUCCCGGUAUCCCCGUCAACCCCCAUCUUGCUCAAGCCAGAGUUUUGGAGUUAUUCUUGAAUCCUCUGCCGGCUCCCCUAUCCCAUUAAUCAUCUCUUUUGUAUCUUCAUUCUCCACACACCUCCUGCCACCACCCUGGCUGAAGUCAUCAGCAUUUCCUGCAGGGUGACCCGACCAGUGUCCUCAGUGGGGAUCCUGCCGCCUACUCUUCGACCCUCUAAUCCAUCCCCCACCAGGUGGCCAGGGCAGCCUUCCCAGAAUACGAAUCUGAUCUUAUCAUUUCCCACCUUCUAUCCCUUCCAUCGUAGAGAACCAGACCAUUGGUCUAUCCAUGAUCUUUUCCAGGCACGGCCCCAUCCUUCCUCUGGGCUCUUUCUGUGUGCAUAGGAUGGGAAGGUCAAUCCUAGCAUCUGGCUGAGAGCUCUUGGAGCGUCC